GAGUUUCAGUCGUAGCUGCUCACCAAAAGCGAUGCUCCGGAAUAAUUGAGUCGUCCUUCUGUUUGUUUGUUUGUUUGUUUUUGCUUCGUCAACAUUUGCUCUCUGCCGCAGCCCGCUUGUGUUCAAUUUCUCCACUUAAUUACACGCACUCUCCCUCUCCACCGGCCUUUUCUUCUCUUCCUCUCGUCUCAGGGGAGACUCCGGGAGAGAGCGAGAGCGUGGGAAGGGGCGACGGGGGAGCUGCUCGUGCUCGACCGGCAUGGCGAAGGAGGGCGUGGAGGAAGCCCUCCUGCUCGCGAGCCGCGCGACGGAUGGCGGCCGCGACGAGGGCCUCGGGCUGGGGGUGCGCGACGAGGUGAAGAAGCAGCUGUGGCUGGCCGGGCCGCUCAUCGCCGGCGCGCUGCUGCAGAACCUCAUCCAGAUGAUCUCCGUCAUGUACGUCGGCCACCUCGGCGAGCUCGCCCUCGCCGGCGCCUCCAUGGCCAGCUCCUUCGCCACCGUCACCGGCUUCAGCCUCCUGCUUGGAAUGGCGAGUGCACUGGACACCCUGUGCGGCCAAGCAUACGGAGCCAGGCAAUACCACCUCCUCGGCGUCUACAAGCAGCGGGCGAUGGUGAUCCUCACCCUGGUCAGCAUCCCGCUGGCCGUCGUGUGGUUCUACACCGGCGAGAUCCUGCUCCUGUUCGGGCAGGACCCCGACAUCGCCGCGGAGGCCGGCACGUACGCCCGGUGGAUGAUCCCGGCGAUAUUCGCCUACGGGCUGCUGCAGUGCCACGUCCGGUUCCUGCAGACGCAGAACAUCGUGUUCCCCGUGAUGGCCAGCGCCGGCGCCGCCGCGGCGUUCCACCUCCUCGUCUGCUGGCUGCUCGUGUACGUCGCCGGGAUGGGCAGCAAGGGCGCCGCGCUCAGCAACGCCAUCUCCUACUGGGUCUACGUGAUCGUGCUGGCGGUGUACGUGCGGGUGUCGGGAUCCUGCAAGGAGACGUGGACGGGGUUCUCCACGGAGGCGUUCCGCGACGUGCUCAGCUUCUUCCGGCUCGCCGUCCCGUCCGCCCUCAUGGUCUGCUUGGAGAUGUGGUCGUUUGAGCUCAUAGUGCUCCUGUCAGGCCUUCUUCCCAAUCCAAAGCUGGAGACUUCGGUGCUGUCCAUCAGGUGCUUAAUGGCAGACCCAAAUUACCACAUUUUCCCUGUUUUUUUCCGGCUGAAGAAAAACAUGUGCAUUGUUUGUUCUUGGCAGCCUCAACACCGCUGCCUUCGUAUGGAUGAUCCCCUUUGGCCUCGGCUCGGCCAUAAGCACCCGUGUCUCAAACGAGCUCGGAGCGGGGCGGCCCGACGCUGCCCGCCUCGCGGUGCGUGUCGUCGUCUUCUUGGCCAUGGCGGAAGGACUGGUCAUGGGGUUGGUGCUGAUCUGCAUCAGAUACGUCUGGGGGCAUGCCUACAGCGACGUGGAGGAGGUUGUGACUUACGUUGCCUGGAUGAUGCUCAUCAUCUCGGUCUCCAACUUCUUCGACGGAAUUCAGUGCGUCCUUUCAGGGACUUUGGCUGGGCAUCAUCUGUGGCCUGAUGGUGCAAGUCCUGCUGCUCAUGGCCAUCACGAUAUGCACAGACUGGGAUAAAGAGGCGGAUAAGGCAAAGGACAGGGUAUUCAGUUCUUCUCUCCCAACAGAUUUCGCAACUGAAGACAGUGCAAUCUAGAGUUCUAGACUACUAAGCAAACAAGCUAGGAAAGGAAGAUGACGCAAUUCCAUCCAGGCUAGCAAACUAAACAAACUAGGCUUUAUGUGCUAUUCCAUGCAGCCUUCAUAUCGAGGAUCACUAUAUAAGAAGUAGUGUUCUUCACCUGAAGUUUGUGAACGUUUGUUCAUGUCUACAGCUUGGUGAAGGACAAGAAGAAAAACAUGGGGGAGUGGUCUCAUGAUGAAACUGCCUCCAGCUACUACUACUAUUGCGACCCCAGCCAGAACCAAACCCACCACAGAAUUUAACAUAUUGUAUCAUUUGUAUGGCACUGAGCAGUAGAACUAAUAAUUGAAAAACAUUCAGGAUAAGUUACCAUCAAGUCAGGCCCACCAUUGUGCGCUAUAAAUUAAUGGUUUGCAGUUCCAAGAAA